rnacentral:lncRNA from 1 species
AAUUUCAAAUGUGUGGUUAUAUGUCGUCGACAAUCUCAAGCACUCUUUCUGUAUAUAUAUAAAAUAAAGCUAAAAAUAAUUUCAGAAAUAAACGAUCUUAUUUACUUUUAGAUUAUUCAAAUCGAUGAUCAACACUGUUAAAUUUUAUAUAUAUAGGCUAUUUGAACUUUCUAAGUUUUAAAUCUCACAACGUUUCAACAUCAUUUGACUAAUAUUUAAGUGGCCUCAAAAUUGAUAAUAUUUGAUUGGUAAAUAUAAGAUGAAUUUAACAAUAGUUGAUCACUAGGCAAAUGAAGCAAUUAAUGGGGUCAACAGGUUAAUUAAAUAUGGGCAAACCCAUGCAUAAGGCUCCACACACACAUAUAUAUGUAUAGGCUCAUGCGCUUUCGAAAGCACAGAGUCCUUCGUGCUUGUAAAUUAUUUUUGAUGAUAGGACAUUUGAUUUGACGAUUGGCUCGGUUAGACAUAUCCUACGCUAUUGGAAUUAUCUUAAAGCUAAAUUUCAUAAUUUUUCGAUAUCAAUUACUAAGUGAUCAAAAAAUUUCAAAAAUGAUUAUUUUACCGGCCUAUGUGCACGUUCUAUAUUCAGUGUAGAACAAUCUAAAUUACAUAAAAUUUUAAUAAAAAAUUCUACUUAACAUCAAUAGCAAGAUUAAUAUUUCUGUUGUAAAAUUUGAAUUUUUUAUCAAUAUUUUUUAUGAGAUUUUUUUUGUCAGCGUUCAUUUUGAGGCUACUUGUUUACUUGACAAAUGAAAUCAAUAAAUUAUGAAAUUUGGUUUAUAGAUAAUUUCAAUAGUAUAGAUUAUAUUUAAUGUAACCGAUUGCCAAAUCGGAUAUCCUAUCAUCGAAAAUAAUUUAAAAAUACAGAGGCCUCCAUAUUUUUGAAAAUAUAUGAGCCUAGCUCUCUCUCUCUCUCUCUCUCUCUCUCUCUCUCUCUCUAUAUAUAUAUAUAUAUAUGUACACCAACUGUACCUAUCUAGUUCUCUAAGAGUUUUAUGGUUGGUAUAUGAUGUUUUACUUUCGAAGAUUUAUUAUUUUAUAUUUCUAACUAAGUGUAUUUUUAGAAAAAUAAACAAAGCAGAUAACUAGUUACUUUUCAUCUACGUCCACAUACAUAUAAACCUAAUAAGCCUGUCACUUUUUUUUUUUCGAAUU